rnacentral:rRNA from 2 species
GACGGAGGGUGCUAGCGUUGUUCGGAAUUACUGGGCGUAAAGGGCGCGUAGGCGGCUCUUUCAGUCGGAUGUGAAAGCCCGGGGCUCAACCCCGGAACGGCAUCCGAGACGGGAGGGCUCGAGACCGGGAGAGGAGGGUGGAAUAGCCAGUGUAGAGGUGAAAUUCGUAGAUAUUGGCUGGAACACCGGUGGCGAAAGCGGCUCUCUGGCCCGGUUCUGACGCUGAGGCGCGAAAGCGUGGGGAGCAAACAGG